rnacentral:snoRNA from 1 species
AUCCCGUGAUGAGGACAGGCGGCGACGUAUUCUUGUAGUCUUUCCCACGCUUCCGGGAUCAUCUCAUGUUUCGUCUGCUAGAAGCUAGAUAUUCUUCCACCAGGGGC